AAAUUGAAGAGUUUGAUCAUGGCUCAGAUUGAACGCUGGCGGCAGGCCUAACACAUGCAAGUCGAACGGUAACAGAAAUCAGCUUGCUGAUUUGCUGACGAGUGGCGGACGGGUGAGUAAUGUCUGGGAAACUGCCUGAUGGAGGGGGAUAACUACUGGAAACGGUAGCUAAUACCGCAUAACGUCGCAAGACCAAAGAGGGGGACCUUCGGGCCUCUUGCCAUCGGAUGUGC
rnacentral:rRNA from 1 species